AAGUCGUAACAAGGUUUCCGUAGGUGAACCUGCGGAAGGAUCAUUACACAGCGUGCGUUGCGCGCGCGGACACACCUGGGCUUUUGGCCUAGGGUGCUCUUGUCCUUGCCUGACUUACACCUAAUGUUUUUUCCUCGGGGUGGUGUAUCCCCCCCGCUAGGGAAGCUUAAACAACCUAGAAUUAGCAGUGUAUUCCGAUAGAUAUACGAAUCGUGACAACUUUCAACAAUGGAUCUCUUGGUUCUG
rnacentral:misc_RNA from 1 species